UGAGGAGAGGCGUAGGCAGGAGGAGGAGAUGAUGCAGCGCAUCGAGAGCAGGAAGAGAUGAGACGCCACCGGACGGCUUCAAGCCAAACUAUGCGGACAGCAGAGAACAGGAAAUGAGAAUGGGUGAACUGGCCCUCGUGGAGCCAUUAAUAUGGGAGGUAGGGUCAUAACGAUGACUCAGCACUGACUGGUCCAUUAACAACCAUAAAAACUACCCCUCCCCCCUUUCGGUGUCUACAGAUCUAAAGGAACUGGGAAGGUGUUGGKCAUAUGGCUAGGUUUGUGAAAUUCUGGUAACUUUCUCAAUUCCCAGGGACUGGGAUUCCUGGAAAGCCUGGGAAUUUGGGGAAGGUUACUGGAGUUUUGCCACCCUAGCCAUAAGGAAGAAGUUCCCCCUAAGAAGGCUAGGUGGUGCCACCGCCAUGUUGUGUGCACCUGGCUAGUUCCUUCAGGUCGGCAGACAUUAAAGGGCUAGGAGCAGGGCUAGGGAUAUAUUGUGAGGCUCUGAACGGGAUGGGCUGUGUGAGGCUCAUGGUGACUCCUUCYCCACUUCAUGGAUGUAACCCGGGGCUGCACAUCACCUACAUACUGUGUGUACUGAAGUACUAAUACUACUGGGGGAAAUAUGCUCAUGUGGCGUAGUCRGAGAACAUGCUAAUUAUGUUUUUGUGUCACUGAUUAGAUAUGUGAGUGAGAGUGACUAGGGUGUAAGUGUGUUUUGGGGGAUUGUGAGACUGAAAUAAUCGUGGAGGGUUUAAAGUUAUCCAUCACUGCAAACGAUUUCCGUCUGAUUAGAUAUGUGAGUGAGAGUGACUAGGGUGUAAGUGUGUUUUGGGGGAUUGUGAGUCUGAAAUUAUCGUGGAGGGGUUAAAGUUAUCCAUCACUGCAAACGAUUUCCGUCAUGGAUUUUU